GACGUAGGGCGCAAGCGUUGUCCGGAAUCAUUGGGCGUAAAGCGCGUGUAGGCGGCUCGGUAAGUCCGCUCUGAAAGUCCAGGGCUCAACCCUGGGAUGCGGGUGGAUACUGCCGGGCUCGAGUCCGGAAGAGGAGACUGGAAUUCCUGGUGUAGCGGUGAAAUGCGCAGAUAUCGAGAGGAACACCAGUGGCGAAGGCGAGUCCCUGGACAACACCGUGACACUGAGGCACGAAAGCUAGGGGAGCAAACAGG
rnacentral:rRNA from 1 species